CCUUCUCCAGUUCUUCAGUUGUUGUCCUCAGGUUCAGUUUAACAUUUUGGACCAAAGUUCUUUUAUCCCUGGAAGUUAAUUUGUGCCUUUUUCCUGAAUGAUGCCCAAAGGGUUAGGAUUUACAGUUCACAUUGUCUGAGGAAAGCUACCAGCAACUGUAACGUCUGCACUUAGCCCUGCCAUCAUCUGUUUGCAUGCUUCCCAUCCUGCCACAUUCUUUCAUUGAUGCACCUUCAGUCAAAGGAACAGGAAAAACAGGAAGGUUGUGACCUCUGAGAGAUGGGAAGGGCUGUGAGGUUUGAGACACAGGGCACUUGGAUCCCGUUGCAAAAAAAACAGGCUUGUAUUAGUUCCUCUUGUUAUAUGCCUCCUUUGUUGUUAUCAUUAUUCUUUGUUAUCAUUAUUUUCUUUUUUCCUGAUUGUGCUCACCUGCAGUUGGUGCAUUUAAACUUUCUGUGUUCCCCAUGUUUUUACAAAGUCUUGUCAUGCAUCUCUUGAGCAAGUUUUGGUUGAUAAUUUUUGUCUUGUUAUUUCUUGACUCUUUGCCUUGUUUUCUGUUUCACAGAUAUGGCUUAUCCUACUGUGCACCUGCCUAUCUGUGAAUAAUGAUGGGUAACAGACUGAACGCCUAUUUGUUUAGUCAAGUUUUUUGAUCAUAUUGUUUUUCUGAAGGUGAUAUAGCCAAAUUAAUGCAUGUUCACUUAGAGAAGAAGGAACCAGUGUUUCUUGUCAGCUGUUUUAAUAUUCAUCAUGUAGAACUGUCACAGACUUUAUUGUUUCCUAAAGAUGGAAAAUGCCUUGUUAGAUGAUUUAUGUCACUCCCAAAGUGCACUCCUUUAACUGCAGAAUGCAUUAAUUUAGGGUUUGUCAUGGUGUGAGACUCAUAUGUUUCAGUUUCUUUUCUGUUUUUUUGCUCUUUCAGAAUCCUUAAUCACUCUUCAGGGCUCAGAUGGCACCUUUCAGUUUAGCCAGCAUUUCUGUAUCUCCCUGUCCUGCUUCUGCUUCUUAUUAUUAUUAUUAUUAUUAUUAUUAUUAUUAUUAUUAUUAUUCUGUCACAAUUAAUUUUCGUUUCAUUGAAUGAUUCUUUCCACAUAACAAUAUGUGUAAAUGGUGUAGUUUUAUUUCAAAAUCUGCUUGUUCUUAUGUUCUGUCUUUUGUUAAAGAUAUGAUAGCUUUUCCAUCAUGCCCUGAGGUCCUGUUCACCCCCACCAGCCUUUCUAAUGAACUCACCAAUACAAACAUCCUUGAAUUUGUAAUCAUGUAUGAAAAGAAGCAAAGUAUACCAGGAUACUUGCUCUCAAAAUACAAUCUGGAUCUUCAUCUCAUCUUGCUUUUCCUCCACUAUGAAGCAAUCCCAUGCUCUGACAGUGAGAAUAAUUCGUUGCUGUACUAACUUUUAUGUAACAGGUUUUUACAUGCUAGUAUUCUUAGAUUGUGAUCUACAAUAUUUGGACUAGCAUGAUAUGUUUUGUAAAGAAGGCUACAAAGCACUUCUGUAAGUUGCUCUGGACAAGGUCAUCUGUUAAAUUAUGUUAAUGUAAAUUUACAAAAAUGGGUGUGUUAAUUACUUCAGUUCUGCAAGAAUAAACAAAUCUGCAGCAGCACUUCAAAUGAAGCAUUAUUAUUACUAUUAUUAUUAUUAUUACAAUUAUUAUUAUUUUAUUAUCUGUUAUCUUUUGACUAAGAUAUUCUCAUGCGUGGUUCAACUGUUGUUCAAAUUGUUGUUACUUUCCAAAUAAAAUGUUUUUUAUUUUGUUUUUUAUCUAGAAAUCCUAUGUACACAGGCCAAGUGGCACACCUCAAGUAUGACCAAUCUCACUGGUAUUCUUACUUUCAGGUGAGGCUUUACAGUUUUAGAUUAGAAGACAUUAUUAACCCUUGUGUGUCCUUAUGGACAUUUUUGUCUUUUUCAUUUUUUUAAUUAUCAUUUUGUCUGUAUUAAUGCAAACACCAUAGGUUUUGCAAAAGGUGUGUAUUUUUAUUGGGGUUUUAAUAUUCCACCCUUAUUUGCUUUCAUAAAUAUAUUUUAAACUAGGUACACAAAAUAGUUACACUCAGGACCUUAAUUACAAAACUGUCCUCACUGAAACCCAUUCAAACUGCAAUAUUUAAUCCCCAUGACGUUUAAGAAUAAAAUCAUGAAGUCUGUUAAUAGGCUUUUAUUUUGUUGACAAGGUUUCAAAACAUUAAAAAAUAAAAUUUAUUCUGAAUUGUGUACUGUUUUCUCAGGUUUAUCGUUUUUUUCUGAUUCUGCUGUAUUAUAGGCCCUGCAGACCAACUGAAUAAAUGAUGCAGCUAUAAUUGUGUGAGUGUGUUUGUACUGAAAAUUUUACAUGUGUGAACAGUUUGAAAGAAAGAAAUGAUACUGUACUGGAAAUCACAAAUCCACGCCAUGUAUAUGAGUUAAAGAAGGUUACUGAGCGUUGAAGAUUUUUGCAUUAUGUAAAUAAACAGCGUUUAAACGGUAAAAAUUCUGAAAAUGAAUGAAUGUUUGGUAAUUAUGAUCAGAACUGAUGCUGGUAAAAAAUCGAAGUCAGUGAAAGUGUAGAAAAAUAUUAAUAUAUAAUAUUUCUAUGACAGUUUUUGACAAUGGAAAUUUUUGUAUUUAUGGACUUGAGUGGUAAGUUUUAUUUUUUAAUCUGACACUGCAUAAAAAUAUGAAUGCAUCAAAAUAAAUGUUUUUGUUAAUCACUGACAUAUAAAGACGUAUAAAGACUGACAUAUGCAAUAAUUAAGGACAUAAAUUAUGCUUAGCAUUCAGUAUAAAUAAUGGCAAAAAAAUUUCCCUCACCUUUCAAAGUGAGGGAGUACCUGUGACCCUUCAGAGGAAGAAAAAGAUUCAGAGGGAGAGGUUGAUGGGAAGUGUUGCAAACUUAAAAAGCAGGAAGGUUGCGAGAUGGGAAGGGCUGCAAGCUUUGAGAGAUCGGCAAGGCUAUGAGGUUUGAGACACAGGAUGAAUGGAUCCUGUCGCAAAAGCCAUAUGUUUGUUUUACUUCCUCUACUUAUAUAUCUCUUUUGUUGCUGUUGUUGUUGGUGGUGUUGUUGUUGUUGUUGUUAUUAUUGUUGUUGUUAUUAUUGGUGUUAUUGUCCUUUAUGGUUAUCAGUGGUGGCUUGGUGGUUAAGGCUCUGGGUUACUGAUUGGAACGUCGGGGAUUCAAGCCCCAGCACUGAAAGUCUCUGGGUUACUGUUUGAAAGGUCUGCGGUUUAAGCACUGCCAAGUACUUUCUUAGCUGAGAAAAAAUAAAGCUGUGUGUCAUGACCUGAGUAUUUAAACACUAGCUCCUAUUGCCGCAUCAAACAGGUACCACAGCGACUUCACUACAUAAACACCUUAGCACAGAGAAACACUUGAUCUCUGCAUUAGAAUGAGUGCAAUGGAAACUGAGAAAGAUGUAUGUAUUUGGUAUCUGAUGGCUCCAACUCCUUCUCCAGUUCUUCAGUUGUUGUCCUCAGGUUCAGUUUAACAUUUUGGACCAAAGUUCUUUUAUCCCUGGAAGUUAAUUUGUGCCUUUUUCCUGAAUGAUCUCCAAAGGGUUAGGAUUUACAGUUCACAUUGUCUGAGGAAAGCUACCAGCAACUGUAACGUCUGCACUUAGCCCUGCCAUCAUCUGUUUGCAUGCUUCCCAUCCUGCCACAUUCUUUCAUUGAUGCACCUUCAGUCAAAGGAACAGGGAAAACAGGAAGGUUGUGACCUCUGAGAGAUGGGAAGGGCUGUGAGGUUUGAGACACAGGGCACUUGGAUCCUGUUGCGAAAAAACCGGCUUGUAUUAGUUCCUCUUGUUAUAUGCCUCCUUUGUUGUUAUCAUUAUUCUUUGUUAUCAUUAUUUUCUUUUUUCCUGAUUGUGCUCACCUGCAGUUGGUGCAUUUAAACUUUCUGUGUUCCCCAUGUUUUUACAAAGUCUUGUCAUGCAUCUCUUGAGCAAGUUUUGGUUGAUAAUUUUUGUCUUGUUAUUUCUUGACUCUUUGCCUUGUUUUCUGUUUCACAAAUAUGGCUUAUCCUACUGUGUACCUGCCUAUCUGUGAGUAAUGAUGGGUAACAGACUGAACGCCUAUUUGUUUAGUCAUGUUUUUUGAUCAUAUUGUUUUUCUGAAGGUGAUAUAGCCAAAUUAAUGCAUGUUCACUUAGAGAAGAAGGAACCAGUGUUUCUUGUCAGCUGUUUUAAUAUUCAUCAUGUAGAACUGUCACAGACUUUAUUGUUUCCUAAAGAUGGAAAAUGCCUUGUUAGAUGAUUUAUGUCACUCCCAAAGUGCACUCCUUUAACUGCAGAAUGCAUUAAUUUAGGGUUUGUCAUGGUGUGAGACUCAUAUGUUUCAGUUUCUUUUCUGUUUUUUUGCUCUUUCAGAAUCCUUAAUCACUCUUCAGGGCUCAGAUGGCACCUUUCAGUUUUGCCAGCAUUUCUGUAUCUCCCUGUCCUACUACUACUUCUUCUUCUUCUUCUUCUUCUUCCUCUUCUUCUUCUUCUUCUUCUUCUGUCACAAUUAAUUUUCAUUUCAUUGGACAAUUCUUUCCACAUAACAAUUUGUGUAAAUGGUGUAGUUUUAUUUCAUGAUCUGCUUAUUCUUAUGUUCUGUCUUUUGUUAAAGAUAUGAUAGCUUUUCCAUCAUGCCCUGAGGUCCUGUUCACCCCCACCAGCCUUUCUAAUGAACUCACCAAUACAAACAUCCUUGAAUUUGUAAUCAUGUAUGAAAAGAAGCAAAGUAUACCAGGAUACUUGCUCUCAAAAUACAAUCUGGAUCUUCAUCUCAUCUUGCUUUUCCUCCACUAUGAAGCAAUCCCUUGCUCUGACAGUGAGAAUAAUUCGUUGCUGUACUAACUUUUAUGUAACAGGUUUUUACAUGCUAGUAUUCUUAGAUUGUGAUCUACAAUAUUUGGAUUACCAUGAUAUAUUUUGUAAAGAAGGCUACAAAGCACUUCUGUAAGUUGCUCUGGACAAGGUCAUCUGUUAAAUUAUGUUAAUGUAAAUUUACAAAAAUGGGUGUGUUAAUUACUUCAGUUCUGCAAGAAUAAACAAAUCUGCAGCAGCACUUCAAAUGAAGCAUUAUUAUUACUAUUAUUAUUAUUUUAUUAUCUGUUAUCUUUUGACUAAGAUAUUCUCAUGCAUGGUUCAACUGUUGUUCAAAUUGUUGUUACUUUCCAAAUAAAAUGUUUUUUAUUUUGUUUUUUAUCUAGAAAUCCUAUGUACACAGGCCAAGUGGCACACCUCAAGUAUGACCAAUCUCACUGGUAUUCUUACUUUCAGGUGAGGCUUUACAGUUUUAGAUUAGAAGACAUUAUUAACCCUUGUGCAUCCUUAUGGACAUUUUUGUCUUUUUCAUUUUUUUAGUUAUCAUUUUGUCUGUAUUAAUGCAAACACCAUAGGUUUUGCAAAAGGUGUGUAUUUUUAUUGGGGUUUUAAUAUUCCACCCUUAUUUGCUUUCAUAAAUAUAUUUUAAACUAGGUACACAAAAUAGUUACACUCAGGACCUUAAUUACAAAACUGUCCUCACUGAAACCCAUUCAAACUGCAAUAUUUAAUCCCCAUGACGUUUAAGAAUAAAAUCAUGAAGUCUGUUAAUAGGCUUUUAUUUUGUUGACAAGGUUUCAAAACAUUAAAAAAUAAAAUUUAUUCUGAAUUGUGUACUGUUUUCUCAGGUUUAUCGUUUUUUUCUGAUUCUGCUGUAUUAUAGGCCCUGCAGACCAACUGAAUAAAUGAUGCAGCUAUAA